ACCCGCCCUCCACUAGCGGCGGGGCGGAUCUAACCGAGGGGAUUUGGCGCUCGAGAAGGCCAGGCCGCCCGCGCUGGGAGGAGGAAGUGGGCUGUGGUGAGGUUGGGCCGGCUGAGGGCCUGGCUUUGUCGGGGUGGGGCUCCACCUUCCACCCACCCGCGCCAGACUCCAGGUGGCCAGGUCAUCUGCUAAAAGCCAAGAUUAGGAGAAGAAAGAAGCAAGUCACCAGGUGCAGCCCACAGUCAAAGGAAAGUAAUCAUACAGUGGUGGAACUACAGGCACACCUUGGAGAUAUUGCAGAUUCAGUUCUAGACUACCGCAAUUAAGUGAAUAUCACAAUAAAGCAGUUAGUAAAGCCUGAAGGAGGUGACUAAAGCCUGAAGGAGGUGACUACUAUUUCAAAUGAGAAGACAAUGAUGCAAAACUUCAAGGAACAUGAAAAGUCAAGGAGUAACAUGAAAACAUGAAAGCAUACAACACACUGGGAAAGAUACACUCGAGUCCAUUGUCACAGAAGAGUCAGUGAAACAAAUGCCUUAUAAGGGAUAGACCGACGGACCAAUGGAACACAACACUGAGACUUAAAACAACUCUGCACAAUAUGGAAGCCUCAGUAUCUCAUAGAAUACAAACACCACCAUCUGUGAGACAUGUCCUGACUCUCCAUAUGUUAAAAUAAAAUUUUUAAAAGUCUUACAGUCCCUCUGCAUGUAACCAAUGUCCAAUCUUCUGGCACUCCCACUCCCUCCCAAACCCCUGGACCUAAAGCCUAUUGUUCCCCUGGGAUGGGUGCUCUUUGUCUCCCAGUGGGCAGGGAGCCUUUGCAAUGGCCCCCCAUUAUCUCCACCUCCUAGUCUUUGUGUCCCUCUUAUAAUCUCC